AUGGCGUUAAGUUCGGCGACCGUGGCCUCGUCGCUCCGCCUCUGCCCGGCAGGCGCUCUCGUCUCCCCCAGUACCACGCGGAGCCGCCGCUCCUGCGCCCCCACCCUCCGGUUCACCAAUCGCCAGCGAGGUGCUGUGCUGAGGCUGUGCAGCGCACGCCCUAGCGCUCCGGCCCUGAGCCGGUGGUGGGCCACGGAGCUCACCCCGGAGGAGCUCCCCACGGAGGAGACCGACGCGCCGACCACCGGGCACGGCCAGGAGGAGCUUGAGGCCAUAUGGAACGCCCUCGUCGCCGAGCCCCUCCGCCCCGUCCUGCUCGCCCUGGGCGAGAUCAGGGACCGCAGCCACUUCUUCCGCUGCCGCAGCUACCACGCCGGGAUCGUCGCUGGCCCAUUGUUGAUGAUUGCUGGUUUCUGCCAGCUCGCUAGAUUAGCACCAACGCUGUUCGUGGAUAUGAUUCUUGGAUAUAUAUUCUACAAGUUAAGUGUUUUAGCAGCACAACUGAAAAGAAAUGGGAAGGCAAACCACAUGUGUGCUCGGAUGCAGCUCGAAUCUAAACGCCUCUGUGAAUGGGUGUUUACCGGCUCGUCACGAAAAUUAUUUGGCUCAUUUUGGUUGAAGUGUACUUUGGAGCUGUAUACUAUGAGAUUGCAGGCGAUAAAGAUCCGAGACGCCAUCUGCUAG
rnacentral:rRNA from 1 species